GGGUUGUGAGGUUAAGCGACUAAGCGUACACGGUGGAUGCCCUGGCAGUCAGAGGCGAUGAAGGACGUGCUAAUCUGCGAUAAGCGUCGGUAAGGUGAUAUGAACCGUUAUAACCGGCGAUUUCCGAAUGGGGAAACCCAGUGUGUUUCGACACACUAUCAUUAACUGAAUCCAUAGGUUAAUGAGGCGAACCGGGGGAACUGAAACAUCUAAGUACCCCGAGGAAAAGAAAUCAACCGAGAUUCCCCCAGUAGCGGCGAGCGAACGGGGAGGAGCCCAGAGCCUGAAUCAGUGUGUGUGUUAGUGGAAGCGUCUGGAAAGGCGCGCGAUACAGGGUGACAGCCCCGUACACAAAAAUGCACAUGCUGUGAGCUCGAUGAGUAGGGCGGGACACGUGGUAUCCUGUCUGAAUAUGGGGGGACCAUCCUCCAAGGCUAAAUACUCCUGACUGACCGAUAGUGAACCAGUACCGUGAGGGAAAGGCGAAAAGAACCCCGGCGAGGGGAGUGAAAAAGAACCUGAAACCGUGUACGUACAAGCAGUGGGAGCCUCUUAAUGGGGUGACUGCGUACCUUUUGUAUAAUGGGUCAGCGACUUAUAUUCUGUAGCAAGGUUAACCGAAUAGGGGAGCCGAAGGGAAACCGAGUCUUAACUGGGCGUUAAGUUGCAGGGUAUAGACCCGAAACCCGGUGAUCUAGCCAUGGGCAGGUUGAAGGUUGGGUAACACUAACUGGAGGACCGAACCGACUAAUGUUGAAAAAUUAGCGGAUGACUUGUGGCUGGGGGUGAAAGGCCAAUCAAACCGGGAGAUAGCUGGUUCUCCCCGAAAGCUAUUUAGGUAGCGCCUCGUGAAUUCAUCUCCGGGGGUAGAGCACUGUUUCGGCAAGGGGGUCAUCCCGACUUACCAACCCGAUGCAAACUGCGAAUACCGGAGAAUGUUAUCACGGGAGACACACGGCGGGUGCUAACGUCCGUCGUGAAGAGGGAAACAACCCAGACCGCCAGCUAAGGUCCCAAAGUCAUGGUUAAGUGGGAAACGAUGUGGGAAGGCCCAGACAGCCAGGAUGUUGGCUUAGAAGCAGCCAUCAUUUAAAGAAAGCGUAAUAGCUCACUGGUCGAGUCGGCCUGCGCGGAAGAUGUAACGGGGCUAAACCAUGCACCGAAGCUGCGGCAGCGACACUAUGUGUUGUUGGGUAGGGGAGCGUUCUGUAAGCCUGUGAAGGUGUACUGUGAGGUAUGCUGGAGGUAUCAGAAGUGCGAAUGCUGACAUAAGUAACGAUAAAGCGGGUGAAAAGCCCGCUCGCCGGAAGACCAAGGGUUCCUGUCCAACGUUAAUCGGGGCAGGGUGAGUCGACCCCUAAGGCGAGGCCGAAAGGCGUAGUCGAUGGGAAACAGGUUAAUAUUCCUGUACUUGGUGUUACUGCGAAGGGGGGACGGAGAAGGCUAUGUUGGCCGGGCGACGGUUGUCCCGGUUUAAGCGUGUAGGCUGGUUUUCCAGGCAAAUCCGGAAAAUCAAGGCUGAGGCGUGAUGACGAGGCACUACGGUGCUGAAGCAACAAAUGCCCUGCUUCCAGGAAAAGCCUCUAAGCAUCAGGUAACAUCAAAUCGUACCCCAAACCGACACAGGUGGUCAGGUAGAGAAUACCAAGGCGCUUGAGAGAACUCGGGUGAAGGAACUAGGCAAAAUGGUGCCGUAACUUCGGGAGAAGGCACGCUGAUAUGUAGGUGAAGUCCCUUGCGGAUGGAGCUGAAAUCAGUCGAAGAUACCAGCUGGCUGCAACUGUUUAUUAAAAACACAGCACUGUGCAAACACGAAAGUGGACGUAUACGGUGUGACGCCUGCCCGGUGCCGGAAGGUUAAUUGAUGGGGUUAGCGGUAACGCGAAGCUCUUGAUCGAAGCCCCGGUAAACGGCGGCCGUAACUAUAACGGUCCUAAGGUAGCGAAAUUCCUUGUCGGGUAAGUUCCGACCUGCACGAAUGGCGUAAUGAUGGCCAGGCUGUCUCCACCCGAGACUCAGUGAAAUUGAACUCGCUGUGAAGAUGCAGUGUACCCGCGGCAAGACGGAAAGACCCCGUGAACCUUUACUAUAGCUUGACACUGAACAUUGAGCCUUGAUGUGUAGGAUAGGUGGGAGGCUUUGAAGUGUGGACGCCAGUCUGCAUGGAGCCGGCCUUGAAAUACCACCCUUUAAUGUUUGAUGUUCUAACGUUGGCCCCUGAUCGGGGUUGCGGACAGUGUCUGGUGGGUAGUUUGACUGGGGCGGUCUCCUCCUAAAGAGUAACGGAGGAGCACGAAGGUUGGCUAAUCCUGGUCGGACAUCAGGAGGUUAGUGCAAUGGCAUAAGCCAGCUUGACUGCGAGCGUGACGGCGCGAGCAGGUGCGAAAGCAGGUCAUAGUGAUCCGGUGGUUCUGAAUGGAAGGGCCAUCGCUCAACGGAUAAAAGGUACUCCGGGGAUAACAGGCUGAUACCGCCCAAGAGUUCAUAUCGACGGCGGUGUUUGGCACCUCGAUGUCGGCUCAUCACAUCCUGGGGCUGAAGUAGGUCCCAAGGGUAUGGCUGUUCGCCAUUUAAAGUGGUACGCGAGCUGGGUUUAGAACGUCGUGAGACAGUUCGGUCCCUAUCUGCCGUGGGCGCUGGAGAACUGAGGGGGGCUGCUCCUAGUACGAGAGGACCGGAGUGGACGCAUCACUGGUGUUCGGGUUGUCAUGCCAAUGGCACUGCCCGGUAGCUAAAUGCGGAAGAGAUAAGUGCUGAAAGCAUCUAAGCACGAAACUUGCCCCGAGAUGAGUUCUCCCUGACUCCUUGAGAGUCCUGAAGGAACGUUGAAGACGACGACGUUGAUAGGCCGGGUGUGUAAGCGCAGCGAUGCGUUGAGCUAACCGGUACUAAUGAACCGUGAGGCUUAACCUUACAACGCCGAAG
rnacentral:rRNA from 1 species